UACAGAGGUCUCAAGCGUUGUUCGGAUUCAUUGGGCGUAAAGGGUGCGUAGGCGGCGCGGUAAGUCGGGUGUGAAAUCUCGGGGCUUAACUCCGAAACUGCAUUCGAUACUGCCGUGCUUGAGGACUGGAGAGGAGAAUGGAAUUCCUGGUGUAGCGGUGAAAUGCGCAGAUAUCAGGAAGAACACCCGUGGCGAAGGCGGUUCUCUGGGACGGUACUGACGCUGAGACGCGAAAGCGUGGGGAGCGAACAGG
rnacentral:rRNA from 1 species